UACGUAGGUGGCAAGCGUUGUCCGGAUUUACUGGGCGUAAAGAGCGCGCAGGCGGUCUAGUAAGUCGAAUGUGAAAGCCCCCGGCUCAACUGGGGAGGGUCAUUCGAUACUGCUUGACUUGAAGGUAGGAGAGAGAAGCAGAAUUCCCGGUGUAGUGGUGAAAUGCGUAGAUAUCAAGAGGAACACCAGUGGCGAAGGCGAGUCCCUGGACAAACCCUGACACUGAGGCACGAAAGCCAAGGGAGCAAACAGG
rnacentral:rRNA from 1 species